CCAAAUUGACCAAUAUGUUGGGGUGAAAUAAAUAUGCGAUGGGAUAUUAUAAGUGAUAUAAAGUGACAUUAUAUCGAUGCCACAUGAUUGAUUCACUGCAGUGCAGAGUCAAUCGUUGGUUGCUUCAAUUUGCAUGUACUAUGUUAGAUCCCUUGUAUAUGCAUGCAUGUUUUAUGUAUGUACUACUAGCUCAAAUAAUCAUUGUGCAUGUGUUGAGACUUAAUUAA
rnacentral:lncRNA from 1 species